rnacentral:lncRNA from 1 species
GUUCGACCAAACAGAAGCCGGGUCAACCGGGAUUCGAUCAAAUUGCUUAAAAUCGAAUCAAAAAUCAUUCACACAUACUUGGCGGCUAGAUUAGGGUUUUACCUUUAUUAUCUUGCCGUGUUGUAUCUUUCCGGUAAAGCUCUUCGAGCUCCUGCACCCUUUCCUUUACACAUUUUCUUUCCUUGUAACCGACGAAACGCUUUUCUGACCAUCAAUAAGACGUCUUUGCUUAAUCCACAUUUAAAACCGAACGUUCCCUCGUUUAGUACCGUUUCCCGAUCAAACAUAUAAGAGUGUUUGUGCUCGAUUACUAAUAAGGUGCACAUGGGACUCUAUCUCUAGAUUUUAGUCUAUGGAAAAAUAAAACUCGUUAAU